CUAAACUAAAAGGAGUACUAUCUAUACAAACGAAUUUGCUAAAUAACCAGGAAUUCAAACAGUCAAGAACAAAUCAGUCCGAAUAGAAACGUUUUGAUGCUUCUGUUAUUGGAUUAAAUUACUGUUACUAAUUACUUACCUAUUCUGAAACUAACUAUUAUGGCAGAACAAACUAAAUGUCAAAACCACUUCAUAUUAAUAUCACCUGCUACAGUGAAGCAAACCAACAACCUAGCAAUUUCGAAUUUUAAAACUAACAGCAUGUAAAUAUAAGCAUAACAAUUCAAUAGUCCCUAGUUACAGUCCAUGUGCAUCUACCAUUCAUAUAAUACAACACAAAUGGCUAAUAUCAACUAUGUCUAAUUAACUAUUAUCAAUUCAGUGACAAACAUCAGAAGACAUCCAAACAUAUAUAAAGCUGCAAACUCUUUUCAUUUCAACUUCAAUUUCCAUCUACAUCGAGGGAUUCAAGAGAAGAUAUCUGGGAUUUAACAGAAAUAAGAAGGAGGAAGGUCAGUAGCAGCAACAGUGGAUCAAAAACAGCCCAGGAAAAGUUCAGAAGAGGACAGAAUCAGGAGAACCAAUCGUAAACCACUUGAAUCCACCCAAAUAAACACAAAAUUGAACUCAGGCAAUCCAUAACACCUUCAGCAACAGAAACAACUAUACAACAACUUAAAUAUACCUCAUCCUGAUUGCAAAGACCAAAUCAAGUAGUUUCAGAACUUCAAUUACUAAUUACUGAACUGGAAUGGCAAACUGGAAGCCAACCUCGAAUUUGAAUUGCUAAAUUCCAAUGGAACAGUUGUGUUUUUGUUUUUGUUUUUGAUUUUUGUUUUUUUGGUUUUUGAAUUUGAAAAUUAUUACAUAUCUGGAAGAAUUAGAAUGGCAAGAGCGUUUUUGAGCUAAUAAUGGCUAAAAAAGAAGCCCCUAGCAAGUCUGUUUUGAUCCCUUUUUAUAGGUGAAUUCAGGUCUUUGAAUUACCUCUUAGGUCCCUAUUCAAUUUCUCUUUCAAUCCCUAAACUUCCUAACUUAUUUUGCAAGCUUGCAUCCUCUUUAUUGAUAUUUCAUUACGACCCCUUACCUAGAAGCUUCUAAGGUCUUCUUUUUAACCACUUGCAAGAUUUCCUAUGUGAAAUCCCUAUUCCGCCCUACCCUUUCCACUGAAUUACCAAUUCAAUCAGUUAAACCCUCAAAACCUUUCAUCCUAUAUGAUCCUAAACCCCCAGUUAAGAAAUCAAAGUGAAACUAACUAAACUAAUUGGAACCAAUUAACCACAUAAUUCAAAGCCAAUUAUCUCUAACCGAUUAGGUUUAGUUAUCAAAACUCAACAUAACUUAGCAUCAAAAUCAACAAAAUGAGAAACAUAGGAAUAUUUAUAGAUUAAACCACAGUUGAACAAAUCAAUGCCUAACUAAUCUAACUUUCAAUCACCAAGAUAGAGUAAUCAGCUGUCAUUAAACUAAACUAAAGGAAUCCUAAAUUAUUGACGAAUUAAACAAAACCAUAACUAAUUUGAUUUAUUGAAUACCUAUUCAACUAACAGAGGAGGAGGCAUAAGGCAUAGAGAAAUAAAAAGAAGUACUUCAAUUGAACGACUAAGCCAUACAAAUAUCAAGCAAAACUAAUAAAACAAAAAACAAGAAUGGACAACUUACUGAAAAAAGUAAACUCCGGCCGGUUCGUCCACUUUCCAAUUUGACCAUUUCCGGCGGGCAUUGAGCGCUAAGGCUGUUGAAUUCCUUAUCAGUACACCCCAACGAACAUCUAGUAUAAAUUUGGGACGAAUUAGACCUACUAGAGUUUUGGCCGAAAAAUUUGAAAUGCAUAUUCGAGCUUCUGGUCACAUUCGAGCCAAUCAGCUAUGGGGGUUUUGUAGAGGAUGGUGUGACGAUCCUAUGCUGUAAAUUUGGGGUCAUUUAGCAUAAUAGACGUCAUGGCCAGAAAAUCUUCCAUCGAUUAUUCGACGGAUUCUGGGUGUCUUUGAGGGGAACCGUAGACAGAUUUGGUAUGAGGGGACGGAGAAGAACAAAGGGUGUUAAUUUGGGGUGACUCGGAGAUGGUGUCGUUCACCGACGGUGGGGUUCCGGCGAGGCUCAGAGAUAGUACGAGUAAGGAUAGUUAUAAUGGGGAAUGUAACAAUUAUUUGUGGCCAUUGGAUCAAGAGCCAUCAACGGCUGAAAUUAAAUCCAGACCAAACGACGUCGUUGGUUGUCCCCUGGAGCAGACCGGGUUGGGGCAUGGUUGGGCCUGGGCAGAAAAUGUGCAUUGGGCUCGAAUUUGAUUUAAAAAU
rnacentral:lncRNA from 1 species